CUUAUUUCUUAUCAAAAUUAAAUUUGUUUUCUUUUAAAAAAGAGAAAAAAUUGAAAAUUACAAAAGCAUCAUUUCAACAUAAAGAACUACACCAAUUACAUUAGUUAUUAAAGAACAAUAUCAAACCAGUAAUCAUAACCAAAGUAAAAGGCCCAUAGAUCUCUGCAGAUUGCUUUUAUCAUUCUCACUGUCAUUUUCAUCCAUGCAUCAAGAUAAAGAAUACCAACCAGGAUCAGCGAUCGCACCAAACCAAAUAAUACGAAACUCUUAUUACGAGCAACAAAAAUCAUGAUAGGACUGUUCCAGUUAUGAACAAUACAUGCGUAAAGACAUAAAGCUUGUCUAGCAGUCAGGGCUGCAUGUCCAAUCCAAAACGACAGGUUCAAUCCACCAAGCCGAGUAGUAAUAUCAUGCACCAACACUAACAAAUACUUAAAGAGGGGGCAAAGAGAAUCCAAAACACAUAUUGACGAGUCCUGUGAUGUGAGGAUCAUGCCUCUUUACAGUCAUCCUGCAUGCAGAGUAAGAACACAUCAAGAAGUUAGAAUUUAUGUAUUUAAGUCUCAAAGGAGGUCAAUGAUCAUAAUCCGCACAUAUCCCAAAUUAAAAGUUAAUGUAAGAUGCAUCAGUGGCGCGGCAAACCAGCCAACUGCACCUCAAAUGGAAGGACAAUUUGCGCAAGUGGGAGACCGUUUAUAAUAAGAUGAAAGUUUUCUUAACAAAAUCAGACUGUGAUUUGGGAUAGAGGCAGGAUUAAGGGCACCCGACCCACUCCUACCAGGAUAUUUACUCUUAGCAUACCCUUUCAUUAACCCCAUUCCUUUCUACCAGUACUAAAAUUUUGUUUAUUGUGAACAUGUAGAAUAUUUACAAAUGUAUUUCUAGACUAUAUUCAUUUUGGACCCCUAGCACAGGUAAGAGUAAACUAUUAAACAAUUUGAGGCUUGACCUUAAUAUACAUUACGUAUUAUUUUAAAAUUAGCUAAUAUUAUCAAUAGUGAAAUGUUGAUUUUUGAGAAUAACUUUGUAAUAUCCACAUGGUUUAGCUAUGUUAAAAAAAAAAAUGAGGUUUUGCUACAGUUAUGAUAAAAAAUAGGAACAUUGCAUCAUAAAAUCCAGCAAGCGAGAUUAUGAUUUUCAAUCCUGCACCUGAUUAGUAUGGUGAUCAUCACCUGAUAAAGGAACUAAUACCAACUUGGAGCUUGAAGGCUACAUGGAGAUGGACAAACCAACUCCACUAUAGUAGUUGGGUUAGCAUAGAUAUAUAGCGUGACAAGUUUUUCGAUAUUCCCUUCUCAACAGCCAUAAACUUACACUUCUGACCCAUUUGAUAGGUUGACUUCAUCUAAGUUAUAGGGAUAGGGCCUAACAAACAGAUGAUAAAUUUGAAGGAUGAAGGCAUUUUGCAGGACAGGUAGUAGCAAUGAAGUUCUGUAUCCUCACCCUGUCCAAUUCAAGCUGACUAAACACCUCCCAUCCCAUCCUGCCCCACAAAAUAAAAGAUAGACAUUUUUAAUCUCAUCAAUAAUCUAGUCAACCAUGCAAUUCAAAUUUUAACCUCUAGCACCUAAGAUUAAUAGAAACAACAAAAAUGCUAAAACCAUGAUAAUACAGAACAAAUGGUUGAGCCAGGGGCCCAGGGCAGUAUAAAUUAUAUAAUACAAUUCAAUAUUAAACUAGAUUACUUCAGUAUUUACAUGAUCUUAUUGUUGUAUUCACUUUCUCCAAUCAGUUUUGGACUAGUAGCUGAAUUCUAUGAAUUUUGCUGGGCUAUGUUAGGGAUCUUGCCUAGAUACAACAAC
rnacentral:misc_RNA from 1 species